AGAGUUUGAUCCUGGCUCAGGAUGAACGCUGGCGGCGUGCCUAACACAUGCAAGUCGAACGAACCCCUAUAGUUGGAUUCUUCUGAAAAAGAGUAUAGGUGACUGAGUGGCGGACGGGUGAAUAACGCGUGGGCUACCGGCCCGCAUACACGGGGAUAACAGUGAUAAAUGACUGCUAAUACCGCAUAUGCGCACGGCAACGCAUGAUUAGAAUGUGUGAGAGACUCCAGGGGUAUCGGCGAUCGUGACUCUCGCGGCGUGAGUAGGCGCGGUUGGCACCGGCAACGGCCUACACAAGCGACCAUCCUGAGACGGCCUAGCAGAGGGUGGACGGACUACAUUGGCGACUGCAGACUCCGCCCGAACUCCUACGGGAGGCAAUCAUUGGGGAAGAUUGCACACUGUGGGGAACCCUGAUCGCAGCGACUCCGCAUGAUCUAAGAAUUAUUUCCGUCAUGUAAAGCUCUAAUCAACAUGGAGAAGAACACAUGACUAGUACACUGACUAGAUAAGCUACCGGCUCAAAUACCUGCCAACAUCCGCGGGAGAGACAGUAUGGUGCAAGCGUUUUCCGGAUUUACUGGGGGUAAAGGGAGGGUAGAGGGGUGUGCAAUUCUGAAGUGAAUGGCAGGGGCCCACCCCCCUGGGAGUGCUUGGGAACCUGCGAGGUUAGAGCGUGGAGGAGGCAAGUGGAAUUCCCGGGGAACCGGGGAAAGCGUAUAGAUAUUGGGAGAACCCCCAGGGGGAAGGGGCUCUUGUGGGACGAAGACUGACGUGGAGCCUGGAAGAGUGUGGGGACCAACCAGGAUAAUAUCCCCUGGAAUUCCACGCGGAUAACGGAUGAAUAUUAGGUGUCGGGUGCCAAAGUCAUUCGGUGCCGCAGCCAACGCAAUAAGUAAUCCACCUGGGGAGUACGUUCGCAAGAAUGAAACUCAAAGGAAUUGACGGGGACCCGCACAAGCGGUGGAGCAUGUGGUUUAAUUCGAAGCAACGCGAAGAACCUUACCUGGUCCUUGACAUCCCUUUGAAGGCGGAGCAAUGUCACGUGUUCCUACGGGACGAAGGAGACAGGUGGUGCAUGGUUGUCGUCAGCUCGUGUCGUGAGAUGUUGGGUUAAGUCCCGCAACGAGCGCAACCCUUACCUCUCAGUAGCCAGCAGGCAGGGCUGGGCACUCUAGGGGGACUGCCAGGGACAACCUGGAGGAAGGUGGGGAUGACGUCAAAUCAUCAUGCCCCUUAUGAUCAGGGCUACACACGUGCUACAAUGGCGGAAACAAAGGGAAGCGAGCCGGUGAAGGGAAGCGAACCCCAAAAAUACCGUCUCAGUUCGGAUUGUAGUCUGCAACUCGACUACAUGAAGCUGGAAUCGCUAGUAAUCGCGAAUCAGCAUGUCGCGGUGAAUACGUUCCCGGGUCUUGCACUCACCGCCCGUCA
rnacentral:rRNA from 1 species